rnacentral:ribozyme from 1 species
CACUAAAUAGGAGAGGAAAAAGUAAAAAUAAAAAAGGGGAGGAAAGGGAUCAAAAUAGCGCGGUGCGGUCCAUCUCAACCUGUCUUCUUCCUUUUUGUUCCCUUCUUUUUUU